UUUGGUGCUAGGGUAAGGUUUAAGGUUUUGGCGUUAGGAUUUAAAUCACUGUCCAAAACGUUUGUAGGAACUAUUUUCCAAGCUUUUGGAGUUAGUUAGACCAAAAAGAAAUGAAAAAUGAAAAAAAAAUAUUUGUGGUGUUCGGGCUUCCUGAAGAUAAUACACGGGUAUUAGAUUUUGGGGCUAGGGAAAGGUUUAAGGUUUUUGGCGUUAGGGUUAAAAUCACUGUCCAAAACCUUUGUAGGAACUCUUUUCCAACCAUUUGGAGUUAGUUAGACCAAAUAAAAAUGAAAAAUGAAAAAAAAAUAUUUUGCUUGUUUUGGCUUCCUGAAGAUAAUGCACGGGUAUUAGGUUUUGGGGCUAGGGUAAGGUUUAAGGUUUUUGGCGUUAGGGUUAAAAUCACUGUCCAAAACCUUUGUAGGAACUAUUUUCCAAGCUUUGGGAGUUAGUUAGACCAAAAAGAAAUGAAAAAUGAAAAAAAAAUAUUUGGGGUUUUCGGGCUUCCUGAAGGUAAUACCCGGGUAUUAGGUUUUGGGGCUAGGGGAAGGUUUUAGGUUUUUGGCGUUAGGGUUAAAAUGACUGUCCAAAACCUAUUUAGGAACAUGUUUCAGACCUUUUGGAGUUGGUUACACCAAAUGAAAUAAAAAAAUUGAAAAAAAAUAUUUGGGGUGUUCAGGCUUCCUGAAGGUAAUACCCAGGAGUUUUGGGGCGAUGGUAAGGUUUAAGGUUUUUGGCGUUAGGGUUAAAAUCACUGUCCAAAACCUUUGUAGGAACUCUUUUCCAACCUUUUGGAGUUAGUUAGACCAAAUAAAAAUGAAAAAUGAAAAAAAAAAUAUUUGGGGUGUUUGGGCUUCCUGAAGAUAAUGCACAGGUAUUAAGAGUUGGGGCUAGGGUAAGGUUUAAGGUUUUGGCGUUAGGGUUUAAAUCACUGUCCAAAACCUUUGUAGGAACUGUUUUCCAACCUUUGGGAGUUAGUUAGACCAAAUAAAAAUGAAAAAUGAAAAAAAAAUAUUUGGGGUGUUUGGGCUUCCUGAAGGUAAUACACGGGUAUUAGGUUUUGGGGCUAGGGAAAGGUUUAAGGUUUUUGGCGUUAGGGUUAAAAUCACUGUCCAAAACCUUUGUAGGAACUCUUUUCCAACCAUUUGGAGUUAGUUAGACCAAAUAAAAAUGAAAAAUGAAAAAAAGAUAUUUGGCUUGUUUGGGCUUCCUGAAGAUAAUGCACGGGUAUUAGGUUUUGGGGCUAGGGUAAGGUUUAAGGUUUUUGGCGUUAGGGUUAAAAUCACUGUCCAAAAACUUUGUAGGAACUAUUUUCCAAGCUUUGGGAGUUAGUUAGACCAAAAAGAAAUGAAAAAUGAAAAAAAAAUAUUUGGGGUUUUCGGGCUUCCUGAAGGUAAUACCCGGGUAUUAGGUUUUGGGGCUAGGGGAAGGUUUAAGGUUUUUGG